UACGUAGGUGGCGAGCGUUGUCCGGAUUUACUGGGCGUAAAGAGCGCGCAGGCGGUCGUUCAAGUCGAGUGUGAAAGCCCCCGGCUCAACUGGGGAGGGUCACUCGAUACUGAUCGACUCGAAGGCAGGAGAGGGAAGUGGAAUUCCCGGUGUAGUGGUGAAAUGCGUAGAUAUCGGGAGGAACACCAGUGGCGAAGGCGACUUCCUGGCCUGUUCUUGACGC
rnacentral:rRNA from 1 species